rnacentral:tRNA from 1 species
UUCCUCAGUAGCUCAGUUGGUUUAGAGCACCUGACUGUUAAUCAGGGGGUCGCUGGUUCAAAUCCAGCCUGGGGAGA